CAGGGAGAGAAUGGAUUGUUUUCCCUAAGAU
rnacentral:tRNA from 1 species